rnacentral:rRNA from 1 species
UAGGGAGGCAGCAGGGGGGAAUAUUGCACAAUGGGCGCAAGCCUGAUGCAGCCAUGCCGCGUGUAUGAAGAAGGCCUUCGGGUUGUAAAGUACUUUCAGUCGUGAGGAAGGUGUUAAGGUUAAUAACCUUAGCAAUUGACGUUAGCGACAGAAGAAGCACCGGCUAACUCCGUGCCAGCAGCCGCGGUAAUACGGAGGGUGCGAGCGUUAAUCGGAAUUACUGGGCGUAAAGGGCACGCAGGCGGUUAAUUAAGUUGGAUGUGAAAUCCCCGGGCUUAACCUGGGAAUGGCAUUCAAGACUGGUUAGCUAGAGUCUUGUAGAGGGGGUAGAAUUCCAUGUGUAGCGGUGAAAUGCGUAGAGAUGUGGAGGAAUACCGGUGGCGAAGGCGGCCCCUGGACAAAGACUGACGCUCAUGUGCGAAAGCGUGGGGAGCAAACAGGGAUUAGAUACC